CACAGACCUCUCCAUGGACGGCUGCAGCUUCCCUGGGUGUUUUUGACCCACCGGUGUCGUCCGAAGCAGCUCCUUCCCUCACGGCCCUUUGUGGCAUCUCAGCCGUACCCUCGCCCCACUCCCCAAACUAUUUCGAAGCAAACAUAGAACGAAGCUGAAAACGUUGUGAAUUUAGUGAAAAGCCCAAAGCAGGAUGGACAAAUAACGCGGAAAAUGCUCUCUUUCUGAACAAUUCAGCACUUUGGGAGUGGACAGGACAGGAAUCUACAACAGUGCCCAGCAUUCAAGUAGCCAGGGAGGUCUGUGGGCUUCAGGACAGUGGCACAAUGAAAACAACAAUCAGAGUAAAUAAAUAAAACAACAUAACUGUAAAUAUUCUGUAAGAGUUUAUUUGAGAGCUUAGCAACAUUUCACUGCUACUUUGAUACAUGUGUACGACUCAGUAAGUUGGGUUGGAAAAGGUAAUUCCGGAGAUUGGUAACGCUAUACAGCCUAUUGUUGAGAAUGUGAUCAACUUCUAUUUUAUAAUCAGUAUCCCAAAGUAAUAACACCAAAACUGCCAGCAGAACAAAAACACACAAACAAACAAACAAAAAAACUCACCCUGAUCCAAAGUACAAAUAAAUAAUAUUCUGUUAUGUAAUAGAAAGCCCAAACAGUCCGUGGUUUCAAGAAUGGCGAUGAAGCACAAGGAAAUACUGUUUUAAAAUCUCCUUUGCAAUAGGAAAAUCUGUAAAUAGGGAAAGUGAGCAGACAGGAAAUUGAGAAGUUAUAACUGAGUUUAAGUUAUCUCAAAGCAAUCGAUUAACUACCUCCAGGAGAUGGGAAAUAGUAUAUAUAUGUUCUCAAAUUCAGAGUCCUGGCUCCAGAGACAUCCAACAUCUUCAAAUCUCAAUCAAGAAAACCCUUUUAUAAGCUCUUUCACACCUCAUUUCUGGUUAUUUCACCUUGCAAAUGGCUCUCGUGAAUCUUGAAGGUCUUAGGAGAACAAAGAAGUUUCCUUUUGUGUUCUUCAAAUUAGAAACUUACUGCAGUCUUCAAGUCAGAUAUUGGAAAAGUCAGUCUUAAAGAACGAAGUAUGUUAAGGUUUACAACUAGGAUGUUUUUUUAUAUCACAUUUUAUAUUAAUUUUACAAGCCAC
rnacentral:lncRNA from 1 species